AAAGACUUGACGGUACUUCACAACACCCUAGAGGAGCCUGUCUAAUAACCGAUAUUCCACGAUUAACCCCACCUGUCCCUAGCCUUACAGUCUAUAUACCGCCGUCGCCAGCUUACCUUGUGAAAGAAAUAAAGUGAGCAAAAUAAACCACCUUUAACACGACAGGUCAAGGUGUAACUAAUGAGCAGGAAAAAGAUGGGCUACAUUUUCUAACACAGAAAACACGAAUCAAAUCAUGAAACCAUAACUUGAAGGCGGAUUUAGUAGUAAGAUAAAAAUAGAAUGCUUAACUGAAA
rnacentral:rRNA from 1 species